UGGGGGAUAUUGCGCAAUGGGGGCAACCCUGACGCAGCAACGCCGCGUGAAGGAUGAAGGUUUUCGGAUUGUAAACUUCUUUUAUUAAGGACGAAAAAUGACGGUACUUAAUGAAUAAGCUCCGGCUAACUACGUGCCAGCAGCCGCGGUAAUACGUAGGGAGCAAGCGUUGUCCGGAUUUACUGGGUGUAAAGGGUGCGUAGGCGGCUUUGCAAGUCAGAUGUGAAAUCUAUGGGCUCAACCCAUAAACUGCAUUUGAAACUGUAGAGCUUGAGUGAAGUAGAGGCAGGCGGAAUUCCCCGUGUAGCGGUGAAAUGCGUAGAGAUGGGGAGGAACACCAGUGGCGAAGGCGGCCUGCUGGGCUUUAACUGACGCUGAGGCACGAAAGCGUGGGUAGCAAACAGGAUUAGAUACCCUGGUAGUCCACGCUGUAAACGAUGAUUACUAGGUGUGGGGGGUCUGACCCCUUCCGUGCCGGAGUUAACACAAUAAGUAAUCCACCUGGGGAGUACGGCCGCAAGGUUGAAACUCAAAGGAAUUGACGGGGGCCCGCACAAGCAGUGGAGUAUGUGGUUUAAUUCGAAGCAACGCGAAGAACCUUACCAGGUCUUGACAUCCAACUAACGAAGUAGAGAUACAUUAGGUGCCCUUCGGGGAAAGUUGAGACAGGUGGUGCAUGGUUGUCGUCAGCUCGUGUCGUGAGAUGUUGGGUUAAGUCCCGCAACGAGCGCAACCCUUGCUAUUAGUUGCUACGCAAGAGCACUCUAAUAGGACUGCCGUUGACAAAACGGAGGAAGGUGGGGACGACGUCAAAUCAUCAUGCUCCUUAUGACCUGGGCUACACACGUACUACAAUGGAUGUUAACAGAGGGAAGCAAGACAGCGAUGUGGAGCAAACCCCUAAAAACAUUCUCAGUUCAGAUUGCAGGCUGCAACCCGCCUGCAUGAAGAUGGAAUUGCUAGUAAUCGCGGAUCAGCAUGCCGCGGUGAAUACGUUCCC
rnacentral:rRNA from 1 species